rnacentral:misc_RNA from 1 species
CAUUGUUAAUUAGGCGUGCCCUCAAAUCAGAUGUUUUACCAGGAGGAUACAAGGGGGACAAAGAUGGUUAUGCAAUUCCUAGUGGGACUGAUAUUUUUAUUUCUCUAUAUAAUCUUCAUAGAUCCCCAUAUUUUUGGGACUCGCCUAAUGAAUUUGAACCAGAAAGGUUUUUAGUGCAAAGAAAGAAUGAAGAAAUUGAAGGAUGGGCUGGUUUUGAUCCAUCUAGGAGCCCAGGAGCAUUAUACCCAAAUGAGAUUAUAUCAGAUUUUGCCUUCCUACCCUUCGGCGGUGGACCAAGGAAAUGUGUUGGGGACCAAUUUGCCCUUAUGGAGUCAACCGUAGCACUGGCUAUGUUGUUGCAGAAGUUUGAUGUGGAGCUGAAGGCCUCUCCAGAAUUAGUGGAAUUGGUCACAG